rnacentral:SRP_RNA from 1 species
GUCGAGCUAUGUAACGAGAGCUUGUAACCCAAGUGGGGACUAUAAGAUGGUGGAACACUGGAUCGGCCCACGGGUCGGAUUUGUUGUUGGCAUAGGUCUGGACUGCCCAAUCCAAGCUGUGAGUGAACCGUAUGAACCAAGCGAAGGUUUGAUCCGUACGGUUGCUAAAGGUUGAGGGUAUUGCGUUAGGCUGGCUUCACAGAGCAGCGACUACCUCCCGCUCUCAGCAGUGGACGGACAACGGUUCGACGCCACACAAAUCCACUAUGGUCCGCUGGCUCGUAACCCGCUUGAACCACCAUUUUU